GAUGAACGCUGGCGGCGUGCUUAACACAUGCAAGUCGAACGAGUGAGUUCUUCGGAACGAUCUAGCGGCGGACGGGUGAGUAACACGUGGGCAACCUGCCUCAUAGAGGGGAAUAGCCUUCCGAAAGGAAGAUUAAUACCGCAUAACAUCGUUGAAGGGCAUCCUUCGAUGAUCAAAGGAGCAAUCCGCUAUGAGAUGGGCCCGCGGCGCAUUAGCUAGUUGGUGAGGUAACGGCUCACCAAGGCGACGAUGCGUAGCCGACCUGAGAGGGUGAUCGGCCACAUUGGGACUGAGACACGGCCCAGACUCCUACGGGAGGCAGCAGUGGGGAAUAUUGCACAAUGGGGGAAACCCUGAUGCAGCAACGCCGCGUGAGUGAUGACGGCCUUCGGGUUGUAAAGCUCUGUCUUUGGGGACGAUAAUGACGGUACCCAAGGAGGAAGUCACGGCUAACUACGUGCCAGCCGCCGCGGUAAGAC
rnacentral:rRNA from 1 species